rnacentral:rRNA from 1 species
GAAGCCCAGCUUGCUGGGUGGAUUAGUGGCGAACGGGUGAGUAACACGUGAGUAACCUGCCCUUGACUCUGGGAUAAGCCUGGGAAACUGGGUCUAAUACUGGAUAUGACUUCUCAUCGCAUGGUGGGGGGUGGAAAGAUUUAUUGGUCUUGGAUGGACUCGCGGCCUAUCAGCUUGUUGGUGAGGUAAUGGCUCACCAAGGCGACGACGGGUAGCCGGCCUGAGAGGGUGACCGGCCACACUGGGACUGAGACACGGCCCAGACUCCUACGGGAGGCAGCAGUGGGGAAUAUUGCACAAUGGGCGCAAGCCUGAUGCAGCGACGCCGCGUGAGGGAUGACGGCCUUCGGGUUGUAAACCUCUUUCAGUAGGGAAGAAGCGAGAGUGACGGUACCUGCAGAAGAAGCGCCGGCUAACUACGUGCCAGCAGCCGCGGUAAUACGUAGGGCGCGAGCGUUAUCCGGAAUUAUUGGGCGUAAAGAGCUCGUAGGCGGUUUGUCGCGUCUGCCGUGAAAGUCCGGGGCUUAACUCCGGAUCUGCGGUGGGUACGGGCAGACUAGAGUGCAGUAGGGGAGACUGGAAUUCCUGGUGUAGCGGUGAAAUGCGCAGAUAUCAGGAGGAACACCGAUGGCGAAGGCAGGUCUCUGGGCUGUAACUGACGCUGAGGAGCGAAAGCAUGGGGAGCGAACAG